CUACAAAGAGAACAUCAGAGCUUGCAAAAAUAUAGCUUAACUUAGGGUUUAUACACUAAAACAAAGAGAGGGGGGAGACAGGGUAACUUUAGUAUCCUGAGGGCCCUGCUGCUUUCCACUGCUGUGGUAUGAGACAGCAGCACCAGAAGGUAUCUGGGGGGAAAAAGAGGCCUAGUGAGCACAGUGAUCCCUGUUGGUGAUCAGUGGAAUGAUGAGUGCGUAGCAGGAGUUAAUUUGUCCAUGAGUAUACAGAGACUUGUAGAAAUAACACGGGAAGACAUAUUGCAGAGGACUGAAGAGGUCCUGGCUGAGCUGGUGUGGGCACAAACUAGUGAAAUUUGGUUUAUUGCUCUAGUAAUGACAGGGCAGGGAGUGGGG
rnacentral:lncRNA from 1 species